rnacentral:rRNA from 1 species
AAGGUUUCCGUAGGUGAACCUGCGGAAGGAUCAUUAUUGAAUGAACUUGGUGUGGUUGUCGCUGGCCCUCUUGGGGGCAUGUGCACACCUACCAUCCUCAUCUCUCCACCUGUGCACCUCUUGUAGAUUUGGAAUUGAUUAUCCGAGGCAACUCGGUCGUGAGGACUGCUAGCACUUAGCUGGCUUUCUUUGCAAUUCCAGGUCUAUGUUUUUCAUAUACCCCAUUGUAUGUAACAGAAUGUAUCAUUGGGCCCUUGUGCCUAUAAAACCUUAUACAACUUUCAGCAACGGAUCUCUUGGCUCUCGCAUCGAUGAAGAACGCAGCGAAAUGCGAUAAGUAAUGUGAAUUGCAGAAUUCAGUGAAUCAUCGAAUCUUUGAACGCACCUUGCGCUCCUUGGUAUUCCGAGGAGCAUGCCUGUUUGAGUGUCAUUAAAUUCUCAACCAUUAUCAACUUUUGCUGAUAAUGGCUUGGAUGUGGGGGUCUAUUUUGCUGGCUUCUCAGAUAGUCAGCUCCCCUUAAAUGCAUUAGCCGGUGCCCCGCGUGGACUGUCUAUUGGUGUGAUAAUUAUCUACGCUAUAGACAUCUGCAAUCAUAUGGGUUUGCGCUGCUUCUAACAGUCUGUUGAUUCAGACAAUACAUGACAAUUUGACCUCAAAUCAGGUAGGACUACCCGCUGAACUUAA